CCUACGGGAGGCUGCAGUGGGGAAUAUUGGACAAUGGGCGAAAGCCUGAUCCAGCCAUGCCGCGUGUGUGAAGAAGGCCUUCGGGUUGUAAAGCACUUUCAGUGGGGAAGAAAGCCUUGGGGCUAAUACCCUCGAGGAAGGACAUCACCCACAGAAGAAGCACCGGCUAACUCCGUGCCAGCAGCCGCGGUAAUACGGAGGGUGCGAGCGUUAAUCGGAAUUACUGGGUGUAAAGCGCGCGUAGGCGGUCUGAUAAGCCGGUUGUGAAAGCCCCGGGCUCAACCUGGGAACGGCAUCCGGAACUGUCAGGCUAGAGUGCAGGAGAGGAAGGUAGAAUUCCCGGUGUAGCGGUGAAAUGCGUAGAGAUCGGGAGGAAUACCAGUGGCGAAGGCGGCCUUCUGGACUGACACUGACGCUGAGGUGCGAAAGCGUGGGUAGCAAACAGGAUUAGAUACCCGGGUAGUC
rnacentral:rRNA from 1 species